GGGGACGCUCCGGGGCGAGGAGUUUUCGGUCUGCAGUCACCCGGCCCCGGGAGCCAAGCUAGAGGAGGAAGACGGGCCGGGACAGGGGUGGUGCUCGCCAGGCCCCCUGCAACCUGGGCACCCGCUAGCUCUUUCGUCCCCGCACCCCGACGCCGGGCACACAACUCCGGCUGCUUCCCGAGCGCCGCUCUGGGAGCGGGCACAUCCCUGCAGCUGUCUGCCGGACAGGUCUUGGGGGACGGCGGCCCCUUUUCUGCAGCGGGUGGGGCGAGAAGCUACGGGAUGUGGAGCUUCCAGAUAAGGGAGUGUCCCUGCCCGCCGCACUGCAAGGGCGGCUGAGCGAUUAGGCGCGGCUAGCGGAACCGAGCGGCGGUGGCUGGGCUUUCCCCACACUCCCGUCACUAUAGUUAAGCCGCCAGCCCCGUGGCAGCCGCUCCACAGCCCACUCCCGGGCCUGGGCUCUGACCCGAACGGCUGGCUCCGCCCUGUUGCACCUCAUAACAUCUCCCGCUGCAAACCGUCCAAUCCGGUGACGCUACGACAGUAUGCGAACCAAUCAAGGGCUACCGCUCAAGCCUUCUACCCCGCCCCUCAGCCUCCCCUUCCCACUCCAUCUCGGGAGGUGGCUCACCAGCUCUGAUCCCUAGAGGAGCCUCUAGCUCUGGGGAUAGUGCUUGGCACCUCUUCACCACCCCACCCCUGUCCUCUCCCCGUCUUAUGCACAUCCCCCCUCCAGGUCUCUGCCCUGCUGAUGCUGUUGAGGGUCCUUUCGAUCCUCAUUGACAGCUUUUGUGUCUGACCAACUGACGCCACCAUCCUGAGAGAACAGAACAAAAACCAAGAUGCUGUGGAACGUGUUACCGUUUU
rnacentral:lncRNA from 1 species